rnacentral:rRNA from 1 species
UACGGAGGGUGCGAGCGUUGUCCGGAAUCAUUGGGCGUAAAGGGCGCGUAGGUGGCCCGGUCAGUCCGUGGUGAAAGCGCGGGGCUCAACCCUGCGUCGGCCAUGGAUACUGCCGCGGCUCGAGCACUGUAGAGGCAGGCGGAAUUCCGGGUGUAGCGGUGGAAUGCGUAGAGAUCCGGAAGAACACCGGUGGCGAAGGCGGUGCUCUGGGCCUGUACUGACGCUGAGGAGCGAAAGCGUGGGGAGCGAACAGG